rnacentral:rRNA from 1 species
UACGUAGGUGGCAAGCGUUGUCCGGAUUUACUGGGCGUAAAAGAGCUCGUAGGCGGUUUUGUCGCGUCUGCCGUGAAAGUCCGGGGCUCAACUCCGGAUCUGCGGUGGGUACGGGCAGACUAGAGUGAUGUAGGGGGAGACUGGAAUUCCUGGUGUAGCGGUGAAAUGCGCAGAUAUCAGGAGGAACACCGGUGGCGAAGGCGGGUCUCUGGGCAACAACUGACGCUGAGGAGCGAAAGCGUGGGGAGCGAACAGG